UACGAAGGGGGCUAGCGUUGCUCGGAAUUACUGGGCGUAAAGCGCACGUAGGCGGAUCUUUAAGUCAGGGGUGAAAUCCUGGAGCUCAACUCCAGAACUGCCUUUGAUACUGAGGGUCUUGAGUUCGGGAGAGGUGAGUGGAACUGCGAGUGUAGAGGUGAAAUUCGUAGAUAUUCGCAAGAACACCAGUGGCGAAGGCGGCUCACUGGUCCGGUACUGACGCUGAGGUGCGAAAGCGUGGGGAGCAAACAGG
rnacentral:rRNA from 1 species